rnacentral:rRNA from 1 species
CCUACGAGUGGCUGCAGUGGGGGAUAUUGCACAAUGGGGGAAACCCUGAUGCAGCGACGCCGCGUGUGGGAAGACGGUCCUCUGGAUUGUAAACCACUGUCCCCAGGGACGAAGAUGACGGUACCUGGGGAGGAAGCUCCGGCUAACUACGUGCCAGCAGCCGCGGUAAUACGUAGGGAGCGAGCGUUGUCCGGAAUUACUGGGUGUAAAGGGAGCGUAGGCGGGGAUGCAAGUUGGGUGUCAAAACUACCGGCUCAACUGGUAGUCGCACUCAAAACUGCAGCUCUGGAGUGAAGUAGAGGCAGGCGGAAUUCCUGGUGUAGCGGUGAAAUGCGUAGAUAUGAGGAGGAACACCAGUGGCGAAGGCGGCCGGCUGGGCUUUUACUGACGCUGAGGCUCGAAAGUGUGGGGAGCAAACAGGAUUAGAUACCCCAGUAGU